rnacentral:rRNA from 1 species
CAGUCGCCGCGGUAAAACGUAGGGCGCAAGCGUUAUCCGGAAUUAUUGGGCGUAAAGAGCUCGUAGGCGGUUUGUCGCGUCUGCCGUGAAAGUCCGGGGCUCAACCCCGGAUCUGCGGUGGGUACGGGCAGACUAGAGUGAUGUAGGGGAGACUGGAAUUCCUGGUGUAGCGGUGAAAUGCGCAGAUAUCAGGAGGAACACCGAUGGCGAAGGCAGGUCUCUGGGCAUUAACUGACGCUGAGGAGCGAAAGCAUGGGGAGCGAACAGGAUUAGAUACCCCGGUAGUCCCUGUCUCUUAUAC